CUUCGGGGCGGGGUGGAACUCCCCACCGACGGUAACCGCUGAAUGCGGAAGCCCGUGAGCUGUUUUUAUGCUGAACAGGUGAAAUUCCUGUGCCGACGGUAUAGUCCGGAUGAGAGAAGU
rnacentral:ncRNA from 1 species